rnacentral:rRNA from 1 species
CUUAAAUUGAAGAGUUUGAUCAUGGCUCAGAUUGAACGCUGGCGGCAGGCCUAACACAUGCAAGUCGAGCGGCAGCGGGAAGUAGUUUACUACUUUGCCGGCGAGCGGCGGACGGGUGAGUAAUGUCUGGGGAUCUGCCUGAUGGAGGGGGAUAACUACUGGAAACGGUGG